CCUACGGGUGGCAGCAGUGGGGAAUAUUGGGCAAUGGGCGCAAGCCUGACCCAGCAACGCCGCGUGAAGGAAGAAGGCUUUCGGGUUGUAAACUUCUUUUCUCAGGGACGAAGAAAGUGAUGGUACCUGAGGAAUAAGCCACGGCUAACUACGUGCCAGCAGCCGCCGUAAUACGUAGGUGGGAAGCGGUAUCCGGAUUUAUUGGGUGUAAAGGGUGUGUUGGGGGGAGUGCAAGCCAGGUGGGAAAACUCAGGGCUCAACCCUGAGCCUGGAGUUGAAACUGUGGUUCUUGAGUGCGGGAGAGGCAAGCGGAAUGCGGGGUGUAGCGGUGAAAUGCGUAGAUAUACGGAGGAACACCAGUGGCGAAGGCGGAUUGCUGGACAGUAACUGACGCUGAGGCGCGAAAGCGUGGGGAGCGAACAGGAUUAGAUACCCCGGUAGUC
rnacentral:rRNA from 1 species